UCACCCUCACCAAAAAACCUCGUCGACUGCAUUUCCACCUCUCAAAACAUUUGAUUAACUCUAUUUCUAUACCAGAAAUUGAUUGAAACACGAUUAUUUCAAUUACACACUCCCAGUCCGUUUUCUUUUAUCCAAUUUUGGGGAGGCAGCCGUAAUCAAGAACAACCAAAUCUCAUUAUACUUUGGAUUUGGGUGUGUGCUUUACAAAUCUCCGACGCAUCUCUUUUAAUUGGGUAAGUUGAUUCUGAUUACAGUAAAUCAAAUUACAUUUCACUACCUUAAUGGGUUUCAAUUCUGAUUAAUAUUGUUUUCAUUCUCAGUAAUUCAUAGAAUUCGUUUUCAUAAAUUUUAUCAAGAUAUAUUUCCUUCAGCAAUGUCUAUAAAUUAUAUAUGAAUUGAAGAUUCAAUUUUUAACUGUUUCUUUGGUUCAUUUUCUCAUUAUUGUUUACAAAUGGCAUCAAGCAAUUCAAGACUGGCUUUCGGAUUCAAGUCAAAAUCGUUCAAUCUUUGAGACAGUACACUUCUUGCUCAGUAAAUAUGUGAAUGAGAUCUAACCAAACAGACGGACAAAUAGAGAAACAUCAUGUACGCUGGAUUAAACUGUACUUUCACGGAAUCUUUUUCCUCAGAUUGGAGAUGAAGUUAUCAACCAUAAUUUAAAAUGGUUAUCUAGGAUUUUGGCACGGAUGGAGCAAUUUGGAUCAU